UACGGAGGGUGCAAGCGUUAUCCGGAUUCACUGGGUUUAAAGGGUGCGUAGGUGGGCAGGUAAGUCAGUGGUGAAAUCUCCGGGCUUAACUCGGAAACUGCCAUUGAUACUAUCUGUCUUGAAUACCGUGGAGGUUAGCGGAAUAUGUCAUGUAGCGGUGAAAUGCUUAGAUAUGACAUAGAACACCAAUUGCGAAGGCAGCUGGCUACACGGAAUAUUGACACUGAUGCACGAAAGCGUGGGGAUCAA
rnacentral:rRNA from 1 species